rnacentral:rRNA from 1 species
GAUGAACGCUGACAGAAUGCUUAACACAUGCAAGUCAACUUGAAUUUGGGUUUUUAACUUAGGUUUGGGUGGCGGACGGGUGAGUAACGCGUAAAGAACUUGCCUCACAGCUAGGGACAACAUUUGGAAACGAAUGCUAAUACCUAAUAUUAUGAUAAUAGGGCAUCCUAUAAUUAUGAAAGCUAUAAGCGCUGUGAGAGAGCUUUGCGUCCCAUUAGCUAGUUGGGGAGGUAACGGCUCACCAAGGCGAUGAUGGGUAGCCGGCCUGAGAGGGUGAUCGGCCACAAGGGGACUGAGACACGGCCCUUACUCCUACGGGAGGCAGCAGUGGGGAAUAUUGGACAAUGGACCAAGAGUCUGAUCCAGCAAUUCUGUGUGCACGAUGAAGUUUUUCGGAAUGUAAAGUGCUUUCAGUUGGGAAGAAAGAAAUGACGGUACCAACAGAAGAAGUGACGGCUAAAUACGUG